rnacentral:rRNA from 1 species
GAUGAACGCUGGCGGCGUGCCUAAUACAUGCAAGUCGAGCGAACGGACGAGAAGCUUGCUUUUCUGAUGUUAGCGGCGGACGGGUGAGUAACACGUGGAUAACCUACCUAUAAGACUGGGAUAACUUCGGGAAACCGGAGCUAAUACCAGAUAAUAUUUUGAACCGCAUGGUUCAAAAGUGAAAGACGGUCUUGCUGUCACUUAUAGAUGGAUCCGCGCUGCAUUAGCUAGUUGGUAAGGUAACGGCUUACCAAGGCAACGAUGCAUAGCCGACCUGAGAGGGUGAUCGGCCACACUGGAACUGAGACACGGUCCAGACUCCUACGGGAGGCAGCAGUAGGGAAUCUUCCGCAAUGGGCGAAAGCCUGACGGAGCAACGCCGCGUGAGUGAUGAAGGUCUGCGGAUCGUAAAACUCUGUUAUUAGGGAAGAACAUAUGUGUAAGUAACUGUGCACAUCUUGACGGUACCUAAUCAGAAAGCCACGGCUAACUACGU